rnacentral:rRNA from 1 species
UAGGUGAACCUGCGGAGGGAUCAUUACACAACAAAAUAUGAAGGCCUGGCUUUCGCGGCCGGCUGAAGUAUUUUUUUCACCCAUGUCUUUGCGCACUUGUUGUUUCCUGGGCGGGUUCGCCCGCCACCAGGACCAAACCAUAAACCUUUUUUUCUUAUGCAGUUUCCAUCAGCGUCAGUAAAAACAAUGUAAUUAUUACAACUUUCAACAACGGAUCUCUUGGUUCUGGCAUCGAUGAAGAACGCAGCGAAAUGCGAUACGUAGUGUGAAUUGCAGAAUUCAGUGAAUCAUCGAAUCUUUGAACGCACAUUGCGCCCUUUGGUAUUCCAAAGGGCAUGCCUGUUCGAGCGUCAUUUGUACCUUCAAGCUUUGCUUGGUGUUGGGCGUUUUUUUGUCUCCCUCUUUCUGGGAGACUCGCCUUAAAACGAUUGGCAGCCGGCCUACUGGUUUCGGAGCGCAGCACAUUUUUUGCGCUUUGUAUCAGGAGAAAAGGACGGUACUCCAUCAAGACUCUACAUUUUUCACUUUUGACCUCGGAUCAGGUAGGGAUACCCGCUGAACUUAAGCAUAUC